ACAUUACCAACAAAACUAAACACCGCGAAGGUGACCAGUGGGUCCCUUGAAAUCAAUUCUGUAAAAAUGAAAGAUAAUGGCGACCAUGAGUUUGAAGUUUUCCUUUCGAAUGGCAAAUCUAAAGCAAAAAAAACAAUCACACUGUGUGUUCAUGAAAAGCCACCUAAGCCAACGGUGAAAGUCACAUGUAUAGAUGGGACUCCUUACAUUACCUGUGAAGUUAAAGACCAAACCGGACGGACCUUCAGUUGGUAUAAAAAUGGGAAAAAAAUUGAUGGAAAUUCUGCAAGUCUAAGAAACAUUGAGAGAGACCAGGACUAUGAGUGUGCUGUGGAACAACCCAUUCCAAGUGAAAAGAG